GUUUUAUUUCGGGGACAUCCGAUAAAAUUGGAAUGAUAGAGAGAAGAUUAGCAUGGCCCUUGCACAAGGAUGACACGCACAAAUCGAGAAAUAUUUCAUGAUUUA
rnacentral:snRNA from 1 species